CACCUAUCUUCUGUAAAAAGCCAAGGUGGA
rnacentral:piRNA from 1 species